CCGUUCUCUCUCCGUUCCUCCUGGAGACCUGGACCGGAUGAAGACGCUGGACCGGGACGCCUCCAUCCGCUGCCUGGCGGCUCAGACCGCUUUCCUUCUCGACUCCCUGAGGCAGCGGCGGCGGCCAUCGCGGGGGUUCCUGCGCGGGCUGUGCCGCCGGUGCCGCUGAGCCGCCACGGGGGACGCCGACACCGCCGCAUCCUCGGCUGUGGAAAGCCCGCCCUCUGCUUUCCCGAGGUGAUUCCCGAAACUCCUUUCCCUUUUUUUUUUGGGAUUCCCAAACCUCCACCUCAGGCGCGGCCGGGCUUCACCCCGGGCUUCACCCCGGGCUUCUGGCCCGCCCCAAAAUGGCGGAGCUGCCCGUCCACCCCUCAGGCCUCCUCGUGCCUCCCCCAGACUCAAAAUGAAAGGUGGAGAGACCCCCCCCCAGGCCUGGGGAAGCUGCUGGGAUGUUUUUCACGCCAUUUUAGACGGAAAAUGCCGUUUUAUGGCUCUGGAUGUGCCUGCUUGGAGCUCACCUGUCGGCAGAAAGAAUUUGAAAUAUUGAGGGCUAGAGAGGAGAAUCCUGAGGGCUCAAACUGUCUAAAACGCUUGGAGAUGAUUCAAUCUCAGAAUUUGAAAUAUUGAGGGCCAGAGAGGAGAAUCCUGAGGGCUCAAAACGCUUGGAGAUGAUUCGGCGUGGCUGGCUCAAACAGGUUUUUAGUACCAACUACAGCUCUAAAAAGUUCAUUCCCUUAUGUAUAUAUUUUAUAUAUGUAAAUAUAAUCCAGUUAUAUAUAUUGUAAAUAUAAAUUAUAUGUAUUAAAAAUAUAUUUUGUACGUAUUACUUAGACCUGUAUUAGCUUUUUAAAGAGAGUGGCCUAGUUUAAUUGACUGUAGAAAACGGUUGCACCACAUGGGUGCAGAAAAUGCGUUGUUUUGGAGGCAAUUUAUGUUAAAUUGCAGGGAGAUUUUGGGGGGAAAAGUGAGAAUUUUGAGGGGGAAAUGUGAGAAGGGUGGGGAAUGUGAGGGGGAGAAAAGGGCGGGAAAACGUGAGGGGAGAAAAAGGGCGGGAAAACGUGAGGGGAGAAAAAGGGCGGGAAAACGUGAGGGGACAAGAUGGCGGGGAGCGUGAGGGGAGAAAAGGAAGGAACUGGAAGGUGACAAGGACGGUAAACCCGAGGAAAAAGGAUGAGAAACGAGAGGAAGAAAAGGUAUGAAACGGAAGGGGAGGAAAGGGAAAAAGAAUGAGGGGAAAAAGAUGGGAAAUGGGAGGGAAAACGGGUGUAAAAGCGGGGGAAUAAAGCAGGCAACACGAGGCCUAAAAGUGAAAUG
rnacentral:lncRNA from 1 species